AAUUCUCAACGGUGGAUGUCUUGGUUCCCACAACGAUGAAGAACGCAGCGAAGUGCGAUAAGCAGUGCGAAUUGCAGAACCGUGAGUCAUCAGAUUUUUGAACGCAACUGGCGCCGUACGGUCUCCGUCGGCACGCCUGGUCCAGUAUCUUGUU
rnacentral:rRNA from 1 species